rnacentral:lncRNA from 1 species
UCAGUGUACGGUGAGGUUGUUUCUACCACGGUGCUUAUCCAUCUGAUGGUUCUCAUACUUGGAUGCUAUAGUAUCCAAGUCGUCCACAAGUUGAGAUAUGGCUGUUGAGGUUCAUGACUGAACGCACAUCCACACUUGCCCCUAAGCUUAAGCUGUAAUGUUGGACAUGGAGGAACAUUUCAGAUUUGGGUAUGACCCAAUUUGCCUGGUUGAUAUGAUGAUAUACGUGAGUACAUGACUUGCAUUUGUGCCCAUAAAUUUGUAAUCAUGGAUGAUGGCAAAUCUUUUUCUCUUUAGAAAAGCUGGCAUUGACACGGAGGGCUAGCCCUGGAUAACUUCAUAAAGGAGGCUAAAGCAUAAUAUAACAAAAGAAGGAAGGAAUGAUCGACACUGAGGGUUAGUACUAAAUUCAUGAUGAGGGCUUGCAUGUGUCAGGAAAUCUGUGAAGAUACUUUGGUAAUAAAAGCAUCCUGAUGUUUUUACCUGUCUUAUGCUUGUACGUAAAUUGACAUCAUGACCCGUACAUGCAACAAGAUCUCUGAUACAGUAGUAAUUAAUUCUAACCCCUGUCAAAAUAUACUGCUUUUAGCUUGAAGGUGCACUCAUUUUUUAAUACAUUAAUGCUUUUUCAGGUGAUCAGCAUUAUGUAGUGUUAUAUGUAUGUAUCCAUACUCAAUGAAGAAAAGGGGAGAUCAGACACAGUAUGGUUUCUCUGGAUGCAGUGCAAAAGUCUUCUACUUAUCACAAAAUUGAUGAUUCUUAUUUGCUAUUAUGGGGUUUCUGCAGCCUGCCUGCGGGUAAGAUGUGGAAUUGUUAAGUAAGAUCACUGGCAUACUUGUCUUUUCUAUUGAUUUGACAUCUGUCCUUUUUUCACGCAUUUCACGUGAUUAAAUUCAAGCCUGUCCAUGAGAUUCUGAUUUCAGAUUGGCUCAUAGAUAGGAACAGGAAAAAAAAACUCAUGGAAAGAAGAUAGAUGCACUGGAUUGAUCCUUGUUCUAUUCAUUUACUGCUGAGGCCCAAGGAGUAACUAUAAGACCCCUUUGAAAUUCAGGAUUCUGAAACGUAGGAACAGAAAACCUUGUAUCCUAAACGAAAGCACACAACUUUGUACAAAUAGAUCUUUAGAUGUUCGACUGAAAUUAUACAAGAUUUUACCCCUCUUAGAAUUCCUCCAAAGUUCUAUGGACUUGGUGCUCCCUAGAUUAACCACAAGCUAAUUCUUUUUGAAGGGCCACACUCAGACUGAAAGGUGGACUAAAUGUAAUUACAAUAGGUGUUUAUAACUUGGUGAUGCUUAUUUAAUCAGUAAGUGCAUCUUCAACCGAACUGGGCAGCCGGUCGCCCCCAUUUGUCCGUUCGUGCAACCAUUCCCC